UAUUCAGAAAUUGAAUACUGCUGAGUACUUCUGUGACAGAUUCAAUCUCAAGCUGCACACUGCUGGGAUCAUUGCUGCCAGUUUCGGAUUGGCGAAUCUUUUCUCCAGGCCCGGUGGAGGGUUCAUAUCUGAUGCAGUUUCAAAGAGGUUUGGAAUGAGGGGUAGGCUCUGGGCCUUGUGGCUUUGCCAAACAUUCGCUGGUGUCCUCUGCAUAAUUCUUGGGCUUGUUGGAUCUUUGAGUGUUUCUGUUGUUGUUAUGAUCAUAUUCUCUGUGUUUGUUCAAGCUACUUGUGGCAUGACCUUUGGAAUUGUUCCUUUUGUCUCAAGACGAGUGUUCUUUUAGUCAAGUUCAGACUCAUUGACACAAAGAGGACAAAAAUAGAAGUAAAAGAAAAAGUGGAAUAGGAUAGCUUAGAAUUCAGCUGUCUCUCUGCUCCAAGUGACAGUCAGUGAGAGAAAAUUUCUAAUAUAGAGGCUGAUUGCUAUUGGUGCUUGUCAAAAUUACUGGAUGGUAUGCAGGACCAUUACACGUUUGCUCAACCAGGAAUUCAGAGGCUUGUUUUUAAGUUGAAGGAAUUGGUCAGGAGGAUUGAUGAGCUCUGCAGCCAUUGGAGCCAAUGUCUUCUGUUUCGUCCUCCCCACAUAUUCGAUCAAAUGCUCCUUUUGCUGGUCUUGUUAUAUGCGUUACUGGGCUAUCCAAAGGAAAUAGAAGCAAGUAAAGGUUGGAGAACAUGGAAAGAGUACCAAAUGAAAGUGAGAUGUGAAUGAUAGACUUAUGAUGGCUGAACGUGCAUUCACUGACAGAGAUGGCCUCUUAGGAAUGACAUGGCAUAAGCAUUUGGGUUGAUGAAAUUGAAGAAACCAAGCAAGCAAAGCAGAGAAGAAACAUCAAACAUGGCUGCUACUGUUGGAAUCACAGAACCACAAGGAGAUCCAGAAAGUGUAUUUGUCAAUGGCUCUGAGCAAGUCACCAUCAUGCAAUCUAAAAGGAAUAGGAUCAAUAUAAAAUCUUGUUUGUUUAAAUUGUUGAAAA